GACAGGGAAGGUUAUAGUCAGGUAUCUAUAAACCAAUCUGGGGUGACAACAGGAAGGUUAUAGUCGGGUAUCUAUAAACCAAUCUUGGGCGACAACAGGAGGGUUAUAGUCGGGUUUCUAUAAACCAUCAGUAAUAGAAAUAGUGCGUACUUAAACAAUAUAUGUGUUAACAGUUAUACUUGUUAUUGGGGAAAACCAAACAAUUUGAAACUAUUUGUGAUGUCUGAUGUUUGAGGUGUAUAUGAAUGGACCGAUGUUGUCUAGACUGUAAUGCUAAUUAAUGUCUAGACUAUGUAAGGUGAUUGACUCACAAGAUGGAUGUUACUAGAAUAAGCAUAUAUGGGUGUUAUUGCCACAGAAGUCAGUUGAAUAAACAACAAUAUAUCUGCAAUAAUAAGAUAUCACUUGAAAAUAUCAUUAUAGGCACCAGCAACAAUAGUGGAGAGGUCAAUAAGUGUUAGGCACCGGCAACAAUAGUGGAGAGGUCAAUAAGUGUUAGGCACCAGCAACAAUAGUGGAGAGGUCAAUAAGUGUUAGGCACCAGCAACAAUAGUGGAGAGGUCAAUAAGUGUUAGGCACCAGCAACAAUAGUGGAGAGGUCAAUAAGUGUUAGGCACCGGCAACGAUAGUGGAGAGGUCAAUAAGUGUUAGGCACCGGCAACGAUAGUGGAGAGGUCAAUAAGUGUUAGGCACCGGCAACGAUAGUGGAGAGGUCAAUAAGUGUUAGGCACCGGCAACGAUAGUGGAGAGGUCAAUAAGUGUUAGGCACCGGCAACGAUAGUGAAGAGGUCAAUAAGUGUUAGGCACCGGUAACGAUAGUUGAGAGGUCAAUAAGUUU
rnacentral:lncRNA from 1 species